GACGGAGGGUGCAAGCGUUGUUCGGAAUCACUGGGCGUUAAGCGCGUGUAGGCGGUUUGGUAAGUCGCAUGUGAAAGCCCGAGGCUCAACCUCGGAAGUGCAUUCGAAACUGUCAGGCUUGAGGACGGGAGAGGGAAGUGGAAUUCCUGGUGUAGAGGUGAAAUUCGUAGAUAUCAGGAGGAACACCGGUGGCGAAGGCGGGUUCCUGGACCGAUACUGACGCUCAAACGCGAAAGCGUCGGGAGCAAACAGG
rnacentral:rRNA from 1 species